rnacentral:rRNA from 1 species
UACGGAGGGUGCAAGCGUUAUCCGGAUUCACUGGGCUUAAAGGGUGCGUAAGUGGGUUGGUAAGUCAGUGGUGAAAUCUCCGAGCUUAACUUGGAAACUGCCAUUGAUACUAUCAGUCUUGAAUAUUGUGGAGGUCAGCGGAAUAUGUCAUGUAGCGGUGAAAUGCUUAGAUAUGACAUAGAACACCAAUUGCGAAGGCAGCUGGCUACACAUAUAUUGACACUGAGGCACGAAAGCGUGGGGAUCAAACAGG